rnacentral:rRNA from 1 species
UGUAAGCGUAUACCAAAGUUGUUGCAGUUAAAACGCUCGUAGUCGGAAUUUGGCAGUUCCGGAUGUGUGCACGUCGUGUGCGCACUUCGCGGGGAUUGCUUUUGUGGUCUUGCGUAGGAUGAGGCACUUUUAUUAGUGAACGUCCUCACGCAACCACUUUUUACUGUGAGAAAAUCAGAGUGCUCAAAGCAGGCAUUUGCCGUGAAUGUAUUAGCAUGGAAUAAUAGAAUAGGACUUGGUUCUAUUUUGUUGGUUUGUUGGGACUAAGUAAUGAUUAAGAGGGACAGUUGGGGGCAUUUGUAUUUCGGUGCUAGAGGUGAAAUUCUUAGAUUACCGAAAGACAAACUGCUGCGAAAGCGUCUGCCAAGGAUGUUUUCAUUGA